CAGAGUUCAUGCCCUUAUGGGUAGAUCUCCCACCCUUGAUUAUUUUACCUUUUUGCUUUGGCGGGCCGCUUAGGCUACCGGCUUUCGCUGGUGAGUGCCCGUCAGAGGAUUUAAAAUUCUAAAUUAUAAUGUCGUCUGAGUACUAUAUAAUAGUUA
rnacentral:misc_RNA from 1 species